AGAAUAUCAAAUCCCUAAGUUCCUAACUCUCUCUCUCGAUCGAGCACCUCCUCCGCCCCCAGUCCGCUGCGCCGCCUCCCUCGGUCCGACUCACCUCCGGCAGCCUCCCUCUGGUCCGUCCCCCGAUCUGACUCCGUCUGCCCCACCCCGUAAUCCGCCUCUACCUCUCAUCAAAUCCUCCGCCCCAUCAAAUGGAGACUUAAAUCGAGCCCUAAUAUCCCAACCCUCUGCAAUCGACCGUGGUCCGAGCAUCCACCAAUGCUGCCAGAAGCUGACGCCGUCGACCCCGUUGCACGUGUCGUCCGAUGACUAAGCCUCUGCUCCCAUUCCCGGCGGCGAAGCCGGACGAAGCCUCUACUUCCGCUCCACACGCUGUCGCACCGACGUUUCUCCAUCUCUUGUCUCAGGGUUUAGGCCGAUUGCAGCUGUGAGUUUUCUUCCUUGCAUUAUUUGUCUCCAAAUUUUUGAUGAAUUUGAAAUUGGUGGUGAUGGUUGCAGCUGUGAGUUUUUUUCCUUGCAUUAUUUGUCUCCAAAUCUGAGAGGAGCAAAAAUUCUGAAAAUGAAUUCAAAACCCUCCCAAAUGGUCUCAAGUACUAUGAUUUGAAGACUAGAGACGGACUUGAAGCUGUAAAGGGAUCUCGGGUUAUAGUAUGAUUGUGGCACAGGAAUUGCCAAGAGAGAUACAACAACCCUAGAGGAAGAGAGCUGGCAAUAGUCCGAGUGCUAGCACUGUGUCGAAAUGCAAUCACCCAUGCCAAGUUUGC